rnacentral:rRNA from 1 species
GCCCAAGAGAUCGGGAUAACACCUGGAAACAGAUGCUAAUACCGGAUAACAACAGAUGAUGCCUAUCAACUGUUUAAAAGAUGGUUCUGCUAUCACUCUUGGAUGGACCUGCGGUGCAUUAGCUAGUUGGUAGGGUAACGGCCUACCAAGGCAUGAUGCAUAGCCGAGUUGAGAGACUGAUCGGCCACAUUGGGACUGAGACACGGCCCAAACUCCUACGGGAGGCAGCAGCA